rnacentral:rRNA from 1 species
GACGAACCGUGCGAACGUUGUUCGGAAUCACUGGGCUUAAAGGGCGCGUAGGCGGGCGGUCUCGUCGGGGGUGAAAUCCUGCCGCUCAACGGCAGAACUGCCUCUGAUACGGGCCGUCUCGAGGGAGGUAGGGGCCUGCGGAACUUCCGGUGGAGCGGUGAAAUGCGUAGAUAUCGGAAGGAACGCCGGUGGCGAAAGCGGCGGGCUGGACCUCUUCUGACGCUGAGGCGCGAAAGCCAGGGGAGCGAACGGG